GCUGCAGGUUAAGUUACGUUAGGACAUUUUAACAUAUUAAAGUCAAAAGGGCUAUCUGUGUAAAAGGAGGAAUGCCAUUGUGAAGGACGUUUUGAGGGAAACUGGCUUAUAAUCAAUUUACACAUGGUGAAGAUUAUGAAAAUAGUUUGCUCGCCUGGUAGACGCCAUUUUAUUGCAAAAUUGUGAUAAUAUGUUUCAUUUACCUUUUAUUUGCCUUGCAGGUAAAACCAUUUUAGUUGAUGAGACAUUUCUUACCAAGCGUAAGUAUAACAGAGGGCGGGUUACCAAAAACAUGACAAUAACUGUUUUAGGAAUAUAUUGUCGAGAAGACAAAGAAGGGCUGUUUUUUAGAGUUAAUGGGAAAAGCAAGCGAGAUAUAUGGCCAUAUAUAAAGCGUCAUGUUCAUCCAGAAACUUCAGUCAUUUGUACCGAUUCAGCUAAACAGUAUAAAAAUGUAGAAAGCAUGUUCUCUGGAGCUGUUCACAAGACAACAAAUCACAGCAGAGGUAAUUAAAUCACUUUGUUUUCAUAUCUGAAUAUAUUAAUAAGUUAACAAUUUGUGAAUAAUUAUUUUACAGGUCAUGAUUGGUUAAUCGGUUACAGUCAGCUUGUUAAAAAAAUAUGUUUAUGAAGAAAUUUUCUAAUGUUAAAUAAUUUCCUCAAGAAUCUACACAAAAGCUUAUUGACAUAUUUCCAUUACAGGUGAAUUUGUAGCUAAAAAGGAUAAAUUCAAUACGAUAAAUCAGUUAGAAAAUGAAAACAAAAUUUUUAAAAGAACAAUUGUUAAUAGACGCAAUGAUCAAAGUCUGAUACAGUAUAUGGCCCUUCAUUAUUACAAGCGUUUUCGUUUGAAGCAAUUUCAAUAUCCGGGCGAAAAAAAUUUACCAGUUCCUACAAGAUAUUAAAACUGUAUAUCCUGGCUAUGGAAAAAAUGGUUUAGAGUUGAAAUUUAUAAAUGAGCCAACAGUACAAAGUGAGGAUAUUGAAGAUUUAAUGCCACCGAAAAAAGCUGCCCGUCAAGAUGAUGAAAUGCAGUUUAUUGAAGAUGGUGAUGAUAUGUGGGAGUAUGGAAAUUAAAAAUCCUGCAGCCCUUUCAUAAAUAAAUACAGCAGAAUUACAGGUUCGAAAAUGUAAUUUAUUUCCUAAGUAUUUUUGAUGCUGAAGCCAGUCAGUUUUUAAGAAUGUUAAGUAUGACUCUGAGUGUGUGACCUGAUAUGAGGAGGAUAGUGCAAGACAGGGAUUAUAACUACUAGAUUUGUGUUGCAUGCAGUGUGAACAUUUCAUAAGUGUACAACAAAGUGAUUUGGAUUAAUUAUUUCAAAACACGAACCUCAGAUGUUAAUAUUUCAAGAAACUGUUUUUUAGAAGAACUGCAAAUAUCAACAAGAAUAUAAUAAAAGGAUAUACAAUACGUUAUGCACAACUGCAAUGGGGUAAGUUAAAAUUCUUGUACCUAUUUUUGCAUUCAUUCAUUCAUAUAUUUUAUUAUAAAUUUGUUGGUAAUAUAAUAUGAAUGGAUAAUUUUAUAUAAGAUAUUUAUUCUAUAUAAAAUGCUAACAUAAGUUUAUUUUAAUAUAGAGAGUAAAAGUAAAUCUAUAAUGAACGGUUUAGUUCAUCAAAAUAAAAUGUCAUCCGAGUUAUCUGAGUAUCUCCAAAUAAUAUACUCAUGUAUAUUUUAUCUUUUAAAAUUUUUA